UUUCAAAUUGAUUUGUGAUUGCUGAAUGUUUUCAACUGUAUCUAUGAUGUAUAAACAUAUAUUUUGCAAUCGGAUAUGGAGUUGGCUCUGGCUUGUUUACGUGAAUACUCUGACUACAAACAAUCGAUGACUUCUGACAUUCAGUUGGUUAAAGCCACUCGCCAGCUGGUGCCUACGGAUUCAGAUGUUCGUAUAAUACUGUUUUUGUCUCUCUUUAUAUUUUAUAUGAUUUUCACACUUUUUAAUUUUGUAUUAAACUUUUAUUUGCUUUAAAUUUGUGUGUUGUUGUAUUUAUUUCUGUUUCUUUUUUGUUUUUUCCCCUUUUUUUUUUUUGGCUGCAAAGUCGAAGCUCUUCUUAAUUCAAUCAUAUAUAGGAUGAGACCGAAAUCGUUAACCAUUGGAGAGUUGAUGCCGAUGAACAGAACUAGUAAUAAUGACGUUAUCCCUCACGGUAGUCCCCUGUGGUUACCCCGUCAUCCUCCAAUGCUAUCGGAUCCCAGGCAUGUUCUUUUCUGUUGUUGGAUCUUUCUUCAAUAUUUGCCUCGUCUUUCAUGGUUUGUGCAGUGGCUUUUGUUUCACACCCUACUUUUCAUGUUCUUUGCCAUGGUCAUCUUGCUGAUGCGGCAUCUUAUUAUUCCCUUGGCUAAAUUUCUUUGUUUUGUAUUUUUUUUUUGGAUGUUGUAACUUACUUUUACUUGUUACUUUGCUUCUGACUUUCUUCUUUUUUUUUUUUAUUUUUUUUUCUAACAAAUAACUCAUAAAUCAAUCAUCUUGGGGACCUUCGGAGUUUAGCAAACUUAAUGUAUGUUCUCCAUGCUUUUACAUUUAUUUAUGUAUUUUCUGUAUUUUGCAUUAUGACUUCAUUGUUGGUGUUUUUUGUUUUCGUUGUUGUCGUGAGGAUGAAUCUUUUGAGUUGCAAGCUGCUGUAGGUCAAAAGGAAGAUGUGCUAGUUGGAAAUCAUUCAUUUAAAAAUUUAGUUCUAUCAUUUUUCAAAUUAUUUACUUGUCCGGUGAUUGUACUUUGAGACUAUUUUUCCAAUAACAGGAAUAAGCUUCAGUUUGUUCA